rnacentral:rRNA from 1 species
GAGUUUGAUCCUGGCUCAGGAUGAACGCUAGCUACAGGCUUAACACAUGCAAGUCGAGCGGUUUGUGCUUUUGCACAUUCAGCGGCAGACGGGUGAGUAACACGUAUCUAACCUUCCCCUUACUUGGGCAUAGCCUCUGGAAACGGAGAUUAAUUUCCGAUGUGGUGUACAUUUCGCAUGUUUUGCGCACCAAAGAUUUAUCGGUAAGGGAUGGGGAUGCGCUCCAUUAGGUUGUAGGUAGGGUAAUGGCCUACCUAGCCAAUGAUGGAUAGGGGGUCUGAGAGGAAGGUCCCCCACAUUGGAACUGCGACACGGUCCAAACUCCUACGGGAGGCAGCAGUGAGGAAUAUUGGUCAAUGGCCGGAAGGCUGAACCAGCCAAGUAGCGUGCAGGAUGACUGCCUUAUGGGUUGUAAACUGCUUUUUUACGGGAAUAAUUAUGAUCACGUGUGAUUAUUUGCAUGUACCGUAAGAAUAAGGAUCGGCUAACUCCGUGCCAGCAGCCGCGGUAAUACGGAGGAUCCUAGUGUUAUCCGGAUUUAUUGGGUUUAAAGGGAGCGUAGGCGGGAGGUCAAGUCAGCUGUGAAAUGUAUCUGCUUAACGGGUACACUGCAGUUGAAACUGGUUUUCUUGAGUGCGUAAGAGGCAGGCGGAAUUCGUUGUGUAGCGGUGAAAUGCUUAGAUAUGACGAGGAACUCCUAUUGCGAAGGCAGCUUGCUGGGUCGUUACUGACGCUGAUGCUCGAAGGUGCGGGGGUCAAACAGGAUUAGAUACCCUGGUAGUCCGCACAGUAAACUAUGGAUACUCUCUGCCGGCG